rnacentral:lncRNA from 1 species
UGGGCAUAGUCGCUUGUUCUCCGCCCGCGGUGGACCAGCUGCGUAACGGUUCACACACUGAUGGCGCCUGGAGGUUUGGCGAAAUACUGACAGGAUGCGACGUCAACGGGAGCGCAGGGCCAAGAUACCCUUUAUAUCAAACCGUCUAUCCUGGAGCAGAAAAAUCCUGUCUUCAUUGCUAUAGCUACAGAUUCAGAAAUGAGCAUGUAACAAAUUCAGGCCAAAGAGAGGCAAUGGAAAUCAGAGAAACACUGUUCCUGAAAGCUUCUGUCACUCAAGAAUCCAUGAAACAUUCAUGAACUUCACAUCAGAUUUUAAUGCAACUUGUUACACAAGAUGAACCCAAACAUAUUUGACUUUUUAUUUUCAGAAAAGCUUAAUACAUAGUUUUGAAUAUGGAUUGUCCCACAGGAUAAAUGCAUGAAAAAAGUUGGAAAAGAGAAAUUGAAUUACAUCCUAAUUGUAGUGUUUUCUCAGGCAGAUCAAUUUUAGAAAGAGAACAUUGACUUGGAAAACUGAAGAGUAAUUAUUCUAAAACGGUUGUAACAGUUUACUCCUUUUAUGUUUGCAAACUUCCAGGAUUAGUGAGUUGCAUAAAGUCACAUAAUUUAUUGCGUUGGUGCAAAAGUAAUUGUGGUUUUUGCCAUUAACAAAACCGCAAUUACUUUUGCAUCAGCCUAAUAUAAGUGAAUAAAUUAAUAUUAGAACACAGGUCUAAUUAAAAGGUUCUGCUGUGUUGUGUCCUGUGAUAACACAGAAAACAAACAAAUGGAUAAUUACAGAAAAAUUUUGGAUAUAAAAUUAGCAGGUAAUUUUCUCCCUCCUUUCCUUC